GACGAACGCUGGCGGCGUGGAUUAGGCAUGCAAGUCGAACGGUAUCAUCCUUUCGGGGGUGAGAGAGUGGCGAACUGGUGAGUAACACGUAGGUUAUCUACCCUCAAGACGGGGACAACCCAGGGAAACUUGGGCUAAUACCGGAUGUGAGCAACUUUUAGUUGUUUGAAAGGUGGCGUAAGCUGUCGCUUGGGGAUGAGCCUGCGUCCUAUUAGUUAGUUGGUGAGGUAACGGCUCACCUAGGCAAUGAUAGGUAGGCGGCCUUAACGGGUGGUCGCCCACACUGGGAUUGAGAUACGGCCCAGACUCCUACGGGAGGCAGCAGUCGAGAAUAGUCUACAAUGGUCGGAAGACUGAUAGUGCGACGCCGCGUGAACGAUGAAUCCCUUCGGGGUGUAAAGUUCUUUUAUAUGUGAGCAGUGCUUCUUAUAUUAACAGUAUGGGGAAGAGAUAUUAGCAUAUGAAUAAGCAACGGCUAACUCCGUGCCAGCAGCCGCGGUAAAACGU
rnacentral:rRNA from 1 species